AUUGAACGCUGGCGGCAGGCUUAACACAUGCAAGUCGAGCGGGGGGAGGUAGCUUGCUACCGGACCUAGCGGCGGACGGGUGAGUAAUGCUUAGGAAUCUGCCUAUUAGUGGGGGACAACAUCUCGAAAGGGAUGCCAAUACCGCAUACGUCCUACGGGAGAAAGCAGGGGAUCUUCGGACCUUGCGCUAAUAGAUGAGCCUAAGUCGGAUUAGCUAGUUGGUGGGGUAAAGGCCUACCAAGGCGACGAUCUGUAGCGGGUCUGAGAGGAUGAUCCGCCACACUGGGACUGAGACACGGCCCAGACUCCUACGGGAGGCAGCAGUGGGGAAUAUUGGACAAUGGUGGGAACCCUGAUCCAGCCAUGCCGCGUGUGUGAAGAAGGCCUUAUGGUUGUAAAGCACUUUAGGCGAGGAGGAGGCUACUUUAGUUAAUACCUAGAGAUAGUGGACGUUACUCGCAGAAUAAGCACCGGCUAACUCUGUGCCAGCCGCCGCAGUAA
rnacentral:rRNA from 1 species